rnacentral:rRNA from 1 species
GCGUGAGUGAAGAAGGCCUUAGGGUUGUAAAGCUCUUUCACCCGCGAAGAUGAUGACGGUAGCGGGAGAAGAAGCCCCGGCUAACUCCGUGCCAGCAGCCGCGGUAAUACGGAGGGGGCGAGCGUUGUUCGGAAUUACUGGGCGUAAAGGGCGCGUAGGCGGCGUUUCAUGUCAGGGGUGAAAGGCCCGGGCUCAACCUGGGAAUUGCCUUUGAAACUGUGAUGCUAGAGACCGGGAGAGGAUGGCGGAAUUCCCAGUGUAGAGGUGAAAUUCGU